CGCAGUGGCCAGGACCGACCUGCGCAGGGGCAGGGGUCAAAGGUCGGGAAAGGACCCAGCGUGCCCACGCUCGCGGCAAGCCUGACGCCGCUUUUGCUCAGAUUAGAAUCCCGGCUCUGUGCAUCUGCUGCAGUUUCCCCCAGCGGUCACCCUGGUGAGGGGACAGGGUGACAAGCCGUGCAGAGUGUGGUUAUUGUUAUAAAGAAAGCAGACUGUGGCGGUAGAAAGCCGUCCAGUGGGAGGGGCCAACUGUGCCGCUUGACGUGUGGUGUGGACCUCAAGAACAAUGUGCACAGAAGACAACAUUGGAGCAGAUGCCUGGAAGAAUCCAAGGAGACAUGCAACAAGAAUCAAGGGUGGCUCUCCAGAGAAGAUGGAAGUCUAAGAGGGCAGCUCUGUGUCAGAUUCAGAUCCUGGUCUUUGCCUAUGGUACCCAGUCUGCAUCUCACACCAGUUCAUCCGGGGCUGCGUGAAGAAAUGGCCCAGGUAAAUAUUUACUCUUGUCUGAAUACAUUUAUUCUAUUCGAAGAGCUGAACAGCUAAAAGGUUGGACCACCUACGAGCUAUAAACAAAUCCACGAGGAAAGAAAAGAUACCAAACCAGCAAGAUGGGUGAGUGGUGUCCCAGUCUAGCUGAGGGAAGAGACAUAUCCAAGGGAAAUUGCCACAAGAUUUUAUAGAAAGGAGCUAAUAAUGUUCUUUGUAAAACAGCUUCGGAAAUGGAAAAAUCUUGCCAGUUCCAUGGUAGUGCAGGUAAGGUGCUUGCAGACUCAAGUUUUCGGUGACUGAGUGUAAGAGAGGGUAACAGCGAGGAUGCAUGUGACCUUAUGUGCUUGCAAGGAAACUUGCACAGUGAAAGCCACUGUGUAUCAUUAGUGCAUGGUAACCAAGUAUUUCAAGUAAUGUAAGUUAUCUUCUUUCUCAUUGUUGCUUUUUCUUUUCCUAUUUCAGGGUCCUAAUGGCAGACACUGGAUCAAAAUGUAACCCACCCAAAUUUCUCUUUUUAAACAGCUCAUAUUUCUCUCUUUAAAGCAUAGCAAAUGCCAGUUUGUAUUCUAGAUGAGAUGUGAUGUCUGCACUAGCCACUGUCAUCAUGUCUCUUCUCGCCUGCUUCCUAAAUACUAUACGUGGCGAUGAACAUGAAGACUCUAACAGCUGCAAGAGGCUGGCUUCCUCUUCCCUGUCCUCAUUGUCGUCCCAGAUGCUUGGCUCUCUGGGAAGUGUCCUGAAUGAAGCGAACCUUUCUUCCCUCUGAAUCUUCACAAAAGCAAAGUGUGGUUUAAUGAGUUCUACUCUGCCUGGGUCCAUGCUCAGCACUGUUGACAUUUGGGACUAGAUAACUCUUUCUUUCUGGAAAGCCCUCCUGUAGUAACAUCUCAUUUGUAUUUUAAUAAAUAAAGCUUGCCUGAGGAUCAGAAAAGUAAAAUAGCCACAAGGGUCAAGCUUACAGACCAGGCAGCAAUGACACACACCUUUAAUCCCAGUAGCCACACUAGCUUGCCAUAGAAACCAGACAGGUUGUGGUGCACGCCCUUAAUCCCAGAACUAGAGAGGAUUAUAAAACGGGAGGAGACAGCUCUCAGUCUCAGUCUCAUUCUGAGGUUUCCUGGAGGCCCACACAGUAGAAGGAGAGAAUGGACUCCCAUAGGUAGUCUUCUGAUUAUCACAUGCACACUAUCUGUGCACCACACAAACACAAGAUAAAAACUAAAGUCAGAAAAAAGUCGCCACUGUUUACUGAGUCAGUGUGAAGAAAAUGAUCACAUGGUCUCACCUCAUUUUUACAAUCAAAACUUGAUGCUUUGCCGGUGAUCAGGGUUCUCACUGGAGGUCUGUUACCUCAGAAAGCAGCGUUGCCCUCACACCUGGAUCUUCUAAACCUAAUUCACAGAGGUUGUCACCAAUCAGGCCUAUAGCCCUUCCACAGGCAAGAGAGCUCUUUGUGUUCAGUGAAUACCGGAGAGGCUAGUGCACAGUACUCAAUUAGUUAGGACACUGAAUUGAAUUUAUCCUAAGACUAAUUAUGUUUAAUUUUCUCUAGGAUGAGACUAAUGAUGUCAUGCAAUGUGGUCUUCUUAUGGAUGUACAUCUUCAGUCUGCCUUGCUCUUCAAUGUACUCAAUGCAUGCUUUGUGCCAAAUAUCAGAAGAACCACAGUGAGUAAGGUGAGGAAAAUGAAGCAGAGAGAAGCGAAAUAGCUCUCCCAUGGUUGUGCAGCCGAGAAGUAUGGGGGAUCCUGAAGCCCAGCACCAGCCCUGCUGAUCACUGUUCUGUGUUUCCUGCUGCCCGAAUUCGAAAAGUCAAAAGGCUCAUGGGGGAUUUUACACGCAGAGAAAAUUUUAUGUUCCCAGGUGGCACCAAACGUGGAGCUGAGGAUGACUUUCAGCUUCGGAACCUCCCGCCUUUACACCCCGAAAGCUGGACAUUUCAGAUGUGAACCACGGCACCCAGUUUUAAUGGGUACUGGGGAUCUGCCCGGGGGUCCCCAGGUAUGCACCCCCUCUAGAAUCUCAGCUACAUCUCCAGCCCCUGGCUAUGAAUUUUAAAACUUAGCUUCCAUGUCUAAAGUAUGAAGGGUCAAACACUGUUCUUUGGAAAUGAUCUCUGCAUUUCUCUGCUCUACUUCUCUUGAUAUUAAUUUGUUUCUAAAAAAAAAAGUUCUUUCCAUUGGUAACCCUGUCAUUGCUAAAUUUAUUUCAUACAGUUUCCAGUCUAGCAUUAAAAAAAGGCUCUCCUCAUACUUAUCUACGAGCCAUCGUUUGCUUUGAUUAGAACAACUUUUACAUGUUGAUCCCCGAAACAACGGUAGGUCUGGGAUGGUUCAACAGUUUCACCGUCCAAGUUUAGAUCAUGCAUACCCAUCCGCAAACUCAGGCAUGGUUUCUUCAAAGCUUCAAGACAGAAGGUACAGAGACAAUGUAAAUGUUACCUGAAACAGAAUCCAAGAGUACAAUUAGAUGAGUUUGUUAUAUUCUAAGACUAAAAUAGAUGUAGACAGGAGUUUUACUUAACCAUCAUUUUCUCAAUAUAUAUCAAAUUAUUUGUGAUGUUGACAUUACAAAGCAACAAGCCUCAUCCAAGUCCAUAACUGUCCAUACCUGAUUAAGAUUCCCCAAAUGGGAAUUUAGACACUUAACAUCUUUGGUUGCAAGAAACAUGUAAGUGCUUACGAAACAGAGUCCUGAGUUCCACAACCGAGUGGUUAGAGUAGCCCACAGACUUGAGGGCAUCACUAGGAAAAAAGCUUCCGGAAGUUUAGAAAACAGCACAGUUCUGAGCCUUGAGAACACACGGAUCCUGUGGCUAGGUCACCUCGGGGCACUUCCAUUCAGGAUUCAAAUUGCCAAAAGGUGAAUCAACCCACAUUUAUCCAAAGGUCCAACCCUGUGAUUUAGAAAAUAGUUCCUUUAGAAAAAAAUCACAGAUUAGAGUUAAGAGGUUGCACCGAGGAGGGGUGGUACAAAAACAGAACAAACCACAGCAAUCUGAGGCCAUGCUGAGACGCCAAAAUUAUUGCUCAAGAAUGCAAAUUUAGAGUCCAAAAAAACAAAACAAACCGUGUGAGUAGCUUCUAUCUUGGAGGUCGUGUAGAUAGAGACUAGAGCCAUAGUAGGGAAACAGAGAAAACAGCCAGGAGUGACAGAGGGAGAAGAUAAGAGAUGCUUACAGUGGGGUCCCCGGCUGUGAAAGGCAUCGGCAGAUGAUUUUGUCAAUGUCUAAACAUCAUGGAAUGGACUUACCUCCACAAACUUAGCUAGAUAGGUCGCUGAUGCCUAGAUACAGAGGGAAAUCAUCUCUCUCAGCUUCUUAAGGCAGUCAAAAGGUAUGCCAAGGCAAAGACCCAUGAGACGAGUCAAACUGCUGCCAACGUGUAAAACUCUUCAUUUAAAUGUAAGUACAUGCAAAAGUAAUAAUAAAGUCGAGGGAAUAUGAAGGCAGGAGAUGGCUCAUUGGUUAAGAUCUCUGACAGCUCUUGUAGAAGACUCGGUUUCAGUUCCCUCUGAGGGUACCUACACAUAUAUGAUGCUAUAAAAUCAUGUUAUGUGCAAACAUGCACAUAAAUAAAUCUUUAAAAAAGUAUAUCAGAUCAAUAACUCGGUAACAUGGCUGUAUAUUAUUAUUAACUGCAUAAUUGUAUUGCUGUGCUUUUACAUGACUGAUCUCGUAAUAUGUUUGUUUACAAUAUUAGCACCGAUGCCUGAGCAAUGCAUUCAUUACAGUAUGAAGUUACUGUGGCUGUGACAGAAACCAAUUUUUCAGCUCUGUCAUACUCUUAUAGGACCACCACUAUCCAUGUGACCAGUCACUUCAUAAGCAAGAGGUCUAGCAGUUGUCUCCAGUUCUAGAAUAUUGGACUACAUAAUUAUGGAAAUUAAAAUAGUCUUAGACACCAGAUCAUAUAAAAAUAUCAGGUAACCACAGGCAGUGGGACCAAAAACAUUUUCCAGUUCUGCACACGGUAAGGUGAGAUGGCUUAGCAGAUAAAGGCACCUGCUCUGAACCCUGAUGCUCUGAAUUUAAUCCCCACAACAUACACAGUGGAAGGCGAGAGCUGAGCUGACUCCCAUGGGUUGCCUGCUGACCUACACCUACACACAUACACAAGGUGUUACGCACUUACUAACCACAGAACACUACUUGAAGCAUUCACAUACACGUCACUUCAUCCCCACUAAUUCCCUAUAGAAUGGGUAGAAUUAUUAAUCCCAUCUUGCAUUCAAGGGAAGAGAGAGAGAGAGAGAGAGAGAGAGAGAGAGAGAGAGAGAGAGAGAGAACCCUGGAGCCAGGAUUCAGAUUCUCUCAUUAACACCAAAGCCUAAAUUCUCGAAAGUACAAUUUUCUGCACAAACUUCAGUGAGGAAACUGCUUAUAAGACCUCUAAGAUGUAGGAUGGCUCAAAACCUUUAUGUAAUUUCUUUAGAUUAAGAAAUAAUAAUAAAUGGUCUCUUCUUUUCCAGAUCCUGUUCAAAUCUCAGAGUUUCUUUGCUAUUUCCAUGGACAGGAGUCUCACCCGAACACUGUCAGAGAAUCACUAACAUGACUGACCAUUUGCUGAGCAAUUGCAACACAGAAUGAAUAGAUAAGCGCUGUGCUUUUCACUCUCGCCCAGAAGUAGAGCGUCCACCACCUGAAGCGACUACAACUCCCAUUUCCCCUAUAACCGUGCACUAUUGUGUAACACGAUGUUUAGGCUCCACGCACAGCAAUUAUGCAAUGCUUCUGUGGUAAGUUCAGUCCCUACUUGGAUGGUGAAAACACCAUGAAGGAAUCAUUUUGCAAUCAUCACAUCUGCAGGCAGUAACCUUUGAGAAACAGGUGGAAAAAAGGAACACUGGAGUUUCUUGUGAGAAGGUUUCUCUCAGAGAUGGUUUCAUUUGAUUUAUAGCAUUGUUUUUUCUUCCUCCCUUCCUCCCUCUCUCUCUUCCUCUCUCUCCCUCCCUCCCUUUCUUCCUUCCCCCUCUCUCUCUCCCUCCCUCCCUUUCUUCCUUCCCCCUCUCUCUCUUCCUCCUUCUUUGUCUUCUUUUUUCUCCUCUUUCUCUUUCUUCGUUUUUUUUUCUCCUUUUCCUUCUCCAUUUUUUUUUAAAACUGAAAAACAACUUUGUCUGAGAACUGUUCUUUAAUUCUUACUAUCCUAGCGAGGAUUCCAUCAAGUACUUCAAAAGUCCAUACUGAGAGCGAGUAUUAAAGGUCCCCUGCUGGGGACUGGAGUGCGGAGGACACAGGUUCCUCGCCCUGCGCUGGACACCGCGCUCCUCUGGCCAGUCUCUGUGGGCAGAAAUACAGGCUGGAGUAUGAGCAGAUGCCAAGAACCUGUCUCUCUCCACCACCUCCCUUCUCCCUUUUCACUGUGCUCCUGAAAGAGAGACCGAGGGAGAAAGAGAGAGUGGGGGAGGAAGAGAGCCUUGGGCCAAACUAUGAAAUAUAUUAGUUUCCUUGCUAAAGAAAGAAAAAAAUAGUGAGUUUUUAAUUCAAUGUUUUUAAAUCCUUCUCUUUUUACAUCAAAUCUCUGACCACGUUGUUUGGAAGCCACAGUGCUAGAUUACGGCUAACUUCUGUGUGGGAAGCCACAGAUCUCGUUUGCAGUUAACUCCUGCGUGCUCCUGGGCCGAGGAUGAUUUUUCUUUUAGCAAGUUCUCCAAAGGGUAAUAUGUCUAACCCUAGAAAUGGGAACUUCACCUCGACAAUGCAUUGUUGACAGUUACUCGUGUUUUAAUCCAGUCAAGAUGAGACAGGAACGGCAGAAGUCAAAGACCACAUGAAUUAUCGAUCGAGAGGGUGUGGAGAAAUCGGGUUCCAGUUUCUUUGCCUCCAACUGUUGCAAUGCUUUGCCUUUUAAACAACCAUCUAAAAAAUAUAUUAAGCCCUGCACUAACAACGACAAAUAUCGGUCCCCUGGCACAGGUGUGACUCCCUCAGAAGACUUCCUCCCCCACCAGGCUCUGCCGUUUCCUCUCUGUCUCGGGCUAUCAUUUCACGUCCUUGUGUCAGGCUUAGUCUAUUGGAAGUGCCUACGUCCUCUGUAAUUUAGGUUUUAAGCAACGUAUGAUUUCCUCUGUUACUUAAAACACAAAUGUAGCUGUCUUCUCUGACUGGGAGAACGUCUUCCUUGCCUAAUCUCCUGCAGAAUGGCAGGGAAGAACACAGAAACCGAAGCAGCUCUGUGUUUUUAACAAACAUUCCUUAAAACCGGAGACCUCACAACUGGCUAGAACUAAAAUUUGUUUUCGUCCUGAAUAUCCUUGCUGGGUCCAUUAUGCGUUAAAAGGGGCCACAGCCCAUGUGCAAGACCUAUGAAUGAGCCCCAUUCAUUCUGGGCUUGGAAAGGUCUUUUCAGCCACCAAGACAAACAAUAGCUACAACCCAAUUUCUUUGGCGUGGAUAUCAACUGAGGAAAAAGCCAAGAGACCAUUAUGAAAACUCUUGUACUUUCUUGGGGUGAUUAUGUAAUUCUGUAUUCACUGGCCAUAUUUAUUUAAAUAAGUCCAUUUUUGAAAAGGUUAUAAAAAUGACUCAUAACGCCAUGGCAUCUUGUUUCAUGUAUGGAACAACCUUUUGAAAACAGAGGAUUUCAAUAUAAUUUGCUUCUUAAUGUUACUAAAGUUUAAAGACAUACUACCGUGUUUGCUCAUUACCCUUGUUAAAUCUGAUGGGAAUUCAGAAUGACGAUUCUGUUUGCCAAAGCCAGCGAUCAUGUUCCACAUUUACCCACAGGGUCCAGUGAAAGGCCCGAGAAGAAAAGGUGGGUGAGUGGAGCACCUAAUGUGGUUUCUGCAGGGGCAGGGCGAUCGAGCAUUCUUUAGUAAAGAGGUGACUGUUUUCACCAUGACUUCCACAUUUGUAUGUCCUGUGGAGUUCUCUCUCUGGCUUCGGACAUCGGCAAAACUUCUCUGUUGGUUUCUGCUUUCAUCUUCCUGUAAUGAGCCUUCUUUCUCUAGCUAGCCUGGUCCUUUCACACAUUUUCCUUCUCAGAUUUGUCUCCCACCAAAUCUUUUCUUCCCAUUUAAUCUGUCCAGCCUUUGCUCUUCCCGAAGUCUUGGUCUCAGGUCGCUUUUUAAGAAACUGGUAAUUACAUCACCAAUUCGGUUAAUAGUUUAAAUGGUACUCUAAUUGGAACUGGGUACUGGAAUCACUUGUUGAAAUCUAGAACCAGAUUGUGGAGAACCUCUCAAUUGCCUUCCCAAGGCUGUAUACAGAGACUGAUGCCCACUUCGUGUUUGGAAAGCUUGCAGGGGUGAUUGGGUCUCAGAAGAACACAUUGUCGGCUCGGUGCCAGUCACUCUCCUGUUGAUUGGGUCUUAGAAGAAAGCGUUGUUGUCUGUGCUGGUCACUCUUCUGCUACUGCGAUAAAUUGCUGACAGAGACUUGAGGAAGGAAGGGUUUGUUUUUGCUUUCAGUUCAGUUCCAGAGGGGGAAAAUCUUUACCGGAGAACUAUAAAAAAAAUUGCUUGCUCUGAUGGCAUUUGAUCACCUCUGCAAAUUCAUUAUUGAAAGUGUCAGUUGCUAGAUUUUGCCUUCUAUUGUCAUUUAUUGGUGAAUGAUGGGAAAUAUGAUUCUAAUUAAAAUUUAAGGACUCUUAAAUUAUUGAGUCAUGAGAAGCAUAAGGGAUUAAGGGCAGAGUCUAGAAAGUUCUAAUUUAAAAUUCUUCCUUGGCCACUUAUUAUUUGUGAGGAUAAGGACAGGAUGGAAUAAAAGCAUGUUCCAGCUAGGGACUAGCUGGAACGUGGUGGGUAGCUGGAUUGCAUUGAUCUUCACAUACUUUUCUGUGAAUCUGAUGGCCUUGGAAGAAGCCAUUGAGAACCGUGCUGGGAGGCAAGCUCUCUGCUCACCAUGAGGCGACUAUGUUCCUGCAAACGCUUUCUAUCUUUCCUGAGGACUCGCAGGUCCUGCAGAUGGCCAGGAGCGGGCCACAGAAGCAGAUAUCUUCAGCCAUGAUGAUCUACUUAAAGUUGUAACAUUCCAUUUUAUAGCUUAAGGAAUUUUGUCCUAUGAUAUGAAUCUGAG